rfam:Trichosporon asahii var. asahii CBS 8904 unplaced genomic scaffold scaffold00033, whole genome shotgun sequence.
GCCUUCUUAUUUCAGUGGUAGAAUAUUUCUUUCCUAACUACCGGUGAAAGGAAACGGUCGCGGGUUCGACCCCCGCAGAAGGUU